rnacentral:rRNA from 1 species
UACGAAGGGGGCUAGCGUUGCUCGGAAUCACUGGGCGUAAAGGGUGCGUAGGCGGGUCUUUAAGUCGGGGGUGAAAUCCUGGAGCUCAACUCCAGAACUGCCUUCGAUACUGGCGAUCUUGAGUCCGGAAGAGGUGAGUGGAAUUCCUAGUGUAGAGGUGGAAUUCGUAGAUAUUAGGAAGAACACCAGUGGCGAAGGCGGCUCACUGGUCCGGUACUGACGCUGAGGUGCGAAAGCGUGGGGAGCAAACAGG